ensembl:lncRNA
AUGAUCAGCAGUGGGGUAUGUUCAAUUGAGAGCAAUUACGAUAACAAACAUUCAGAGGAAGCUGAUUGGAUAGAGCAACUCAGUGAUCAUUCAUCAUUUGUUCUGGUGGACAACUCUACUGUCACUCGAACCACUUCAGCCCAUCAUUGCUCUUCAAGUCUACGAGAAGCUGGUGAAGCUGAAAUCCAGCCGGACCAAUCUUUAUCCCCAAGCCUCAUUGAGUGGGGUGAUCCUGUCUCCAAUAAGCCUGUCCUGUCGUCGACAAUGGCCCACAAUGAAGACGUGCCUGUUCCUGAAAGCCACGGUGGUCCGGACGAUGAGAGAAGUAGAAAAGAGCCGUGUAAAACCUCAGAAACAAUGUCUCUCAACUCCAGCUCCGGAGGGGAUAGAGACACGCUGAAGUAUAGCCCCGACAGCCUUCAUCCAGCUAGUCGAGACGAACUCAGGUCCAAUUCUGAUGGAGAUUCAUCAUCAGGCCUAGAAAUGGAUUACAUCAUUGUGUCUGGCACAGUAAAAGAAACUGACAGGGAGUGGCACGGUAGGCCGAAACAGCCUGACAGGCAUUCAAAAGCUGCAAGAAAGUCCAUGGAGACGUUUAGCAUGCUUUCCUACGCUGCCACAGUGCUGCAAAGCCAGGCUCGGGUGGAAGAUGGAGAGCGCCAGGGGAACACAGAAAGAACGCGGAACGAAAUCAUCAGAAGUUCUGACAGUGUAAGCAAAGUUACAGAGCACAGUCAAGCUGUUUCAUGUGCUCAUUACCAAUCACAAAAUAACUACGAAACUUUUCAACAGUCAGAUUCGAGCCCGGGUUGCAGUCAAACUCAGGUAAAAGAAAACCUUGAGGAUGAAUCAAAAAUUGUGGCCAGAAGUGUGUCUCCAUCCUUAAGAUAUCCGUCAGAUCAUUUCCUGAAAACCAGAGAGGAGGUUUAUGUCCAUUCACAAAUCUCGAUGGAAGAUUCAGAUGAGGGUGGGCAAUCGCCCUCGGCACCUCCGUCUUUGGGUGACUUUCAAGUUUGGGAGGUUCAGUUAACGAGUCAGGACGCGCCGAUAACAUCUGAACCGCAAUCACCUGAACCGCAGUCACCUCAACUUACCCACAGCUCAGUCUCCCACACAAGCUCCUUCAUUGGCACCCCAUUAAGUAAUUCUGUUAUUUUUGCUGACAGAGAACUGGGAUUACCAUUUUCUGGAGAUUUGAUGGAAGAAAAGAACGAUGAGGAAGAGCAUGAAGAGGGAUCUGAUUCAGAGCGUAUUUCCCAUUCAAAAUGGACUUCAGAGAUACAAAGCGAUAGAGAAGAAAGGCAACCGUUAGGAUCCUCUGAUCUGCUAAGUUUCACUGAGCAGCUGAUAGAAGAUUCUUCAUUUCAACAACAGGAUUUGCAUUUACAAAUACUUGAGCCAAAGUGGGAUGGAUACUUACAGAAUACAGUGGAUUACUGUUAUGGACAACCUAUAAUGACUGCUGGUUAUGAUAAAUGGUCGACUGAACAACAGAUUGGAGACCAUGAAUCUUCACAAGACAGCUAUUCAACCCUCUUAAGGUAA